GAAGAAGAAGAAGAAGAAGAAGAAGAAGAAGAAGAAGAAGAAGAAGAAGAAGAAGAAGAAGAAGAAGAAGAAGAAGAAGAAGAAGAAAGAAAUAGAAGGCAUAGAAGUAAAAAAGAAAAGAGGGUAAGGGGAGUUAAGCCGAAGGAGAUCUUGGGCCGGGCGCGAUCAGAUAUAGAAGAGGACUCUUGGGCCCGGUCUGGCCAGAUCUCGAGAUACCGGAAUUUAAUAACCUGACGUAGCAGGGCAAAAGGGGGAGGUGGUACGGGGGGAGGGGGGGGGGGGGGGCAAUAAUAUCGGAUAGAUAUUGAUCUUUAAUUAGGCACACGGCGAGGGAAUGCGAGAUUAGAUCACCACCCUGGUAGUAGUCAGUCUCGAGUCCGCGUGCAACUGACGCGAACAUGAACUAGAAAUCUAACUUUUAGAUUUCUCUUUAUCGAUCGUCAUCCACGUAUACUCGCUCUCAUUCUUUUCGGAUGAAUCGUUUUUACUCCUUCCAAUUCACACGUAAAUCCUGGACCCGGUAGAAAUAUGUUUAAUGAAGAAAUUAAAGGAAUCGGUUGUAAAAUCGUAGUCAAUUUGGUCCUCUCGCUGGGAGCUCUCGUCUUCGUCCGGCUCGACGAUGAAGAAGGAGAAAGAGAAGACGACGACGACGCCCUACUCGAUAUCUCUUAAUGACCGCCUCGUCUCAGACUUAAUCGACAACACGUAUAAACCAUCUUGCUUCUGCAUAUUCAACGCGUCCUCGUUCGCGCGUGGAGCAGCAGCAGCAGCAGCGGUUAAGAUGGAGUUUUUAAGAGACACACACACAUAAAAUGGCAAUCAGAGAACACUCAGUUAGGAAAGGGGAUAUCAGAAGCUCAACUUAGUUUUACUCUGAAAGGCGAGGCGAAUGAGAAGAAAAAAACAUUCAAUCAAUAAAUAAAUUCAAAAAAAUGAAGAAGAAAAAAUAAUUCUCCGUAAACCAUUUAUGCGCUAUUUCAGUCUGAAGAAAAAAAAAAUGAAAAAACUUGGUUUUAU